AUGUGAAUUGCAGAAUUCAGUGAAUCAUCGAAUCCUUUGAACGCACAUUUGCGCCCAUUAGUAUUCUAGUGGGCAUGCCUGUUCGAGCGUCAUUUCAAACCCUUAAGCCCUGUUGCUUAGCGUUGGGAGCCUGCCGUAAAAGGCAGCUCCUCAAAGUCAUCGGCGGAGUUUCAGUAAUCUCUAAGCGUAGUAAUUCGUUCUCGCUUCUGAAGUGCUGUAGCCCCUGCCGCUAAACCCCCAAUUUUUCAGGUUUGACCUCGGAUCAGGUAGGAAUACCCGCUGAACUUAAGCAUAUCAAAAGGCGGAGGAAG
rnacentral:rRNA from 1 species